UAUGUGCAUCCUUAUUAGGUACAUUUUUAUUUAUUUAUUUUCACUAUUCCUAUUUAUUCUUUCAGAAUACGUAGAUGUAGCAGUCCAUGAAGUCCAUGCAGUGUUGAUCAACUUGGCCCGCAAGACGACCAACAUCCAGCGCAAGGGGGCAAUGGCUUGAUGAAUGCAAGACUGUCAUCUGUGAUACGACCAAACAGAACAGAGAAAUGCUGGGUGAGAAAUCCCAUGGUACCUGGGGGAAGUACUACCUGAAUACUGUGCCAUUCAAACAAGAGGGAUGCAAAAGACAAGCAGUGAAGUUAACACACCUGUCACCCCAAAUGAAAUGUCGCAGAAGGAGAUUGAGGAAUUCCAGAUUCAACGUCUCGAUCAUCAUGUAAAAUGAAAGUGGACCAGGUGAGGAAGACCAAGCACCUAAGAUGCAGAAUUAGAAGAGCUUCCAGAAGAAUAUGUCUGCCCAAGACCACCAAGGCAAGAUACAGAAGUGAGACUGGUGUGGGGUCUUCUCUUUCCUUCCUGGAAUCAUUGGGAUCUUCAGACGUCCGUAGGUCUUCACUUUAACCAGUCCAGGAUCCUUUCCUUUCAGUUAUAAUAAUGUUGCCCAAAACAUCAGAAACACUUGUUUUAUGAACUCUGCUCUGUAGCGCCGGUUGGAACUGCCUGCAUUCUGCAGAGACAUCCUGAGACAGCAGGACAUCUGGAGUUCCUACCCCUCUUCUAAACUGCUCCGCUGUAGUGUUUGGUCAGGAGAAAUACAACCACCUGUCACUAAGUCUGAGCACUCACCUGAGACAUAGCCUGGAACAAUACUUCAUGCCGUCUCCAGUGGAAUGUAAAUGCUGGGACAGUUCAAGCAGCAUGGCAUCUGUGUCCACCCACUGCCCCGGUGAGCUUCCCCACCCCCGUGAUCCAGGGACGGACUGGGACUAAAAAACGGCCCUGGACUUUGGCUAGGCCCGGCCCAAAGCAAUCGGCGCGUGGAAACUCGACGACAACAACAAUAACGCCUGCCGCCUGGCAUGAGUGUCACAAGACCAUCCAAAUUAUAGCAAUAGCACUGAUGUUGACUAGAUGUUGUGUUAAAAGCAUAUUAUUCUAGAUUAUUGCUGUCUUAAAAUGAAUUUAUUACUUAAUAUUCUUAAUUAAUUUAUGCAGUAAUUAAUCUUACUGCACAAAUAAUAAUACCACAUCUAAAUUAAAAUACACCAUUACAAAUGUAACUUCUGUAUUCAAAAUCUUCAAAGUUUGUAAGCAUUAACUGUAACGUUACCAACAUUUUUUAAAGUAAAAGCACAACAUAUUUCUUAUAUUAGCUACUGCAUGUGGCAUUCUACAGCAAAAAUGUUGAAGUUUAGCUGUUUUAACUACUGUAAUCAUUAAAAAUGUAGCAAGCUGAAUAUCACUUCCUAACAUCCCUAGCAAGUAACUCUUUCUCUUCUCAUGUUCCAUACUUGCCCUGUAUCUGCCUGUGGAACCAGCUCAUCUUUCUGUUCUUCACUGCUGGUUCUGCUGCUAAUAUUUAACUGCGAGGUGCUGCUGCUGGCUGUGCAGCUAAAUAUUUCAGUUAGUUUGUGACAUUUAGCAGCUUUACUAUCUAAAUUCCGCUAUCUACAUUUUUUUUUUCUUUCGCCUACUCAGCCCCACCCUUUUCUUUUAGUUUUUUCCCCGCGGCCGCGUUAUGCAUAUUGUUUGUUCGUUUCUAUGCUUCUAUCUAACGUCUUUGCUGUUGGUUUCUUCCUCCUCUUCCACUUCUUCUCCUUACUUGGUGGCCACGGCCAUAGACAUCUUAUUUAAAGGCUAGACGUCUCAAGGCGCAGUCACUUCUGCCAUCACCGGUGGCCAUCUUGUCACAGGCAGGCUUCCUGUCGGGCUCUGUGGUACCUAAUAUAAGGUGAGUGAUCAGCACUAACACAAAUACUCUU